GGGGGCUUAGCUUCGAUGGUAGAGCACUCGCUUAGCAUGCGAGGGGUAUGGGGAUCGAUACCCCGCGCCUCCA
rnacentral:tRNA from 1 species